GGGAGGCAGCAGUGAGGAAUAUUGGACAAUGGGCGCAAGCCUGAUCCAGCCAUCCCGCGUGCAGGAUGACGGCCCUCUGGGUUGUAAACUGCUUUUAUUAGGGAAGAAACCUAGUUUUUAUGAACUAGCUGACGGUACCUAACGAAUAAGCACCGGCUAACUCCGUGCCAGCAGCCGCGGUAAU
rnacentral:rRNA from 1 species